GACGAACGCUGGCGGCGUGCCUAAUACAUGCAAGUUGAGCGCUGAAGUCGGGUACUUGUACCCACUGGUUGAGCAGCGAACGGGUGAGUAACGCGUGGGGGAUCUGCCUUUGAGCAGGGGACAACAUUUGGAAACGAAUGCUAAUACCGCAUAAAAACUUUAAACACAAGUUUUAAGUGUGAAAGAUGCUAUUGCAUCACUCAAAGAUGAUCCCGCGUUGUAUUAGCUAGUUGGUGAGGUAAAGGCUCACCAAGGCGAUGAUACAUAGCAGACCUGAGAGGGUAAUAGGCAAAAUUGGGCCUGAGACACGGCCAGAAACACUACGAGAGGCAGACGUAGGGAAUCCUCGCGAAAGGAAGAAAGGGUGAACGAGCAACGACGCGUGAGUGAAGAAGGCUUUCGGAUCGUAAGACUCUGUUGGUAGAGAAGAACGUUGGUGAGAGUGGAACGCGAACCAAGUGACGGUAACUACCCAGAAAGCGACGGCUAACUACGUG
rnacentral:rRNA from 1 species